UAUCUCAGAUGGUAAAGAAUCUGCCUGCAAUGCAGGAGACCCAGGUUCAAUCCCUGG
rnacentral:tRNA from 1 species